GACUGCCGGUGACAAACCGGAGGAAGGUGGGGAUGACGUCAAAUCAUCAUGCCCCUUAUGACCUGGGCUACACACGUGCUACAAUGGCAAGUACAACGAGCAGCUAACCCGCGAGGGUACGCGAAUCUCUUAAAACUUGUCUCAGUUCGGAUUGUAGGCUGCAACUCGCCUACAUGAAGUCGGAAUCGCUAGUAAUCGCGGAUCAGCACGCCGCGGUGAAUACGUUCCC
rnacentral:rRNA from 1 species